UACGUAGGGUCCAAGCGUUAUCCGGAAUUACUGGGCGUAAAGAGUUGCGUAGGUGGCAUGGUAAGCGGAUAGUGAAAUGACGAGGCUCAACCUCGUGUCCAUUAUCUGAACUGCCAAGCUAGAGAAUGAGAGAGGUAACUGGAAUUCCCUGUGUAGGAGUGAAAUCCGUAGAUAUAGGGAGGAACACCGAUGGCGUAGGCAGGUUACUGGCUCAUUUCUGACACUAAGGCACGAAAGCGUGGGGAGCAAACGGG
rnacentral:rRNA from 1 species